CCCUAAACACAAUCUUCAUGGAGACGCACAAGAUUGAAGAUGCCAGAAGAUUAAAUUGAAGACGCCCUAAUAUUAAAGAUGCCACAAUCAUUUUACGCUAAUUUCUCUCUUUAUUCAUGUUGAACCCUAAUGGCGACACACAUCCAAAUCUCAUCCAGUCCCCCCAUCUUAUGUAAAUCCAUAUUCGUUUAGUUUGAUCGGCUACUAAAUGGUUUGAGUUUUUAAGAUACCAAUGGAAAUGAGGAUGAAGAAGUGGAUGCCAUGGCUAACUUUCUGGUGGUGUAACUGAUUUGGUGGGGUUUGGGAUGGGACGAUGGGUGUUUUCAUAGUUAGGAAGUUGCACUCAAGGUGUUCGAUGACCUCAAUGCAAAGCUUUCUCAUUUUGGGCUUGGGAAGGAUGAGCCUAUGGAAGAUCAAACCCAUGUACCAACACCACUUAUGGAGACAUAUGGAUAUGCAACACCCGAGUAUGUCAUCACUUUCACUGGCGAGUGAGUAAGUCGUGCUUUUGUGUAAAAUUUAUAUAUCUAUACAUCUUAAAGCACAGGUGUCACAUUCUCAAGCCAUCCUUUUUAUUGGUUUCCCGCUCAUUUGUUUGGAUCCCCAUUUGUCCUAUUUCAGACGAAACUUACCUGUUUCAUAGUUUGUUUCUUCGCAUAGCUCUU